rnacentral:rRNA from 1 species
GAUGAACGCUGGCGGCGUGCCUAAUACAUGCAAGUCGAGCGAACAGACGAGGAGCUUGCUCCUCUGACGUUAGCGGCGGACGGGUGAGUAACACGUGGAUAACCUACCUAUAAGACUGGGAUAACUUCGGGAAACCGGAGCUAAUACCGGAUAAUAUAUUGAACCGCAUGGUUCAAUAGUGAAAGACGGUUUUGCUGUCACUUAUAAAUGGAUCCGCGCCGCAUUAGCUAGUUGGUAAGGUAACGGCUUACCAAGGCAACGAUGCGUAGCCGACCUGAGAGGGUGAUCGGCCACACUGGAACUGAGACACGGUCCAGACUCCUACGGGAGGCAGCAGUAGGGAAUCUUCCGCAAUGGGCGAAAGCUUGACGGAGCAACGCCGCGUGAGUGAUGAAGGUCUUCGGAUCGUAAAACUCUGUUAUUAGGGAAGAACAAAUGUGUAAGUAACUAUGCACGUCUUGACGGUACCUAAUCAGAAAGCCACGGCUAACUACGUG